rfam:Triticum aestivum genome assembly, contig: Triticum_aestivum_CS42_TGACv1_scaffold_543197_6DS
UGUCCGGUGAUGAAAAACCUGUUAAUCAUACCAUCUUUCGGGACUGACUGGUUGCUAUGUGUCAUUCUGCAAUCGUGAGUACA